ACACGCCCUAUGCAAACCACAAGAAGGCUGGAGAAGCAGCUUUGAGAAGAGUGUGGUGAUAAAGGGUUUCACCUUUCAGUCGGAGCUCCUGAUGUCCAGGCAGCAGGAGAACGUGUGAAUCCUUAGCUGAGAAAUUCAUUUAAGGCUCCUUCCAGGCAAAGUCUACCUUGUACUCUGAUACUGCUGCAUUCAAGUACUGGUGUCACUGAUGUGCAUCUUUUCUUAACAAAGUGAUCUCAUCCAGACCAACGCCUGUCCUUUCAUUUUUUACGUUAUUUUCUUUUUUAUCUAAUCAAGGAUGUAGUGUGCCAUCGGCGCUCUGAAACGGAUGACACUGAGUCACGCACAUUUAAAGUCUCAUAUGUGAGAAAAGGCCUGAUGAGCGUAGAGACACUCGUAGUACCAGUGCCUUAAUGUAACGGUUGCAUCCAUCUGUAGCAGCUGAGGUUCACCAACAGAGGAGCCCUUCAAAUCAUUAAUCCAGUGCUAACCUGUGGAGGUGAUAUAAAGGAAAAAGCAUGAAUCUUCUACUUAACACUACAAUUUUUAUGUUGUUGACAAACUGUGAAUUUUCCAAAUCUGAGAAGGAAUAAUCACUAUUUAGCUGAAAGGAUCACAGAGCCCUGUGGUUGCUUCAGCAGCGAUAGAUGUGCUGAAAACUCAGCUGCUGGGUGAGGAUGAAAGAACGAACUCUUGAGGAAUUCUUUCUACCUGCUCUCAGGUAAUCCCUGACACGUCUCUGUUGGAGGAUGCUGUGAAGUGUGUAGUUGUGUAAAGAAGUGUAAUUACUGAGUAUUUGUUUGGAAAACUCAGAGAAAUGCUAAAAUUUACAGUAAACCGAGACCUUUUUUUCUUUGUUUUCAACUAAAGCUGAACUUAGUGGGCUUUCUUGUGGAAAGUAUUUAAAGAUAGUUUGGUGUAUUUAAUUGUCACCGAGAAGCAAGAAUGUAUGAUGUUUGAUUUUUGAGAAGGGGGGAAAAAAAGGGAAGCUCGUGAUGUUCAAAGGGAGGAUGAAAUUUAAGGUUUAGCUGAAAGUCUGCAGACCACAGAGAGGCCGAGCUCUUGUAUUUAUUCCUGUUUUCAAAGCGGGAUCAGACGUGAAUGCUCUGAUCUGAUUAUUACAUUGCAUUAUGUAUACAGAUACAGUACUAUACCGUUGAUGGAACACUUAUUUAUGUCCACUUUGUUUGUUAUCAACACUGUGAUAUAUGUAUUUCAUUCAAUUUAUUCACUUCUUUUUACAUGAUCAUUGUGUCUGGUAAAUAAAAAAACAAAACAUGUUGUCUU
ensembl:lncRNA